rnacentral:tRNA from 1 species
GUCCCCAUAGCUCAAUUGGAUAGAGCACCCGCCUUCUAAGCGGACGGUUGUGAGUUCGAUUCUCGCUGGGGGCGCCA